rnacentral:tRNA from 1 species
GCCGCCUUAGCUCAGCUGGUUAGAGCGCUGGUUUGUGGAACCAGAGGUCCUCCGUUCAAUCCGGAGAGGCGGUACCA